rnacentral:rRNA from 1 species
CCUACGGGAGGCAGCAGUGGGGAAUAUUGGGCAAUGGGCGCAAGCCUGACCCAGCAACGCCGCGUGAAGGAAGAAGGCCCGCGGGUUGUAAACUUCUUUUAACAGGGACGAAGAAAGUGACGGUACCUGUUGAAUAAGCCACGGCUAACUACGUACCAGAAGCAGCGGUAAUACGGAGGUGGCAGGCGUUAUCCGGAUUUACUGGGGGUAAGGGGCGGGUAGGCGGGAGAGCAAGUCAGACGGGAAAUUACAGGGCUCAACCCUGGAACUGCGUUUGAAACUGUUCUUCUUGAGGGAUGGAGAGGCAGGCGGAAUUACGUGUGUAGCGGUGAAAUGCGUAGAUAUACGGAGGAACACCAGUGGCGAAGGCGGCCUGCUGGACAUUAACUGACGCUGAGGCGCGAAAGCGUGGGGAGCAAACAGGAUUAGAUACCCCGGUAGUC